rnacentral:rRNA from 4 species
AAAUUGAAGAGUUUGAUCAUGGCUCAGAUUGAACGCUGGCGGCAGGCCUAACACAUGCAAGUCGAACGGUAGCACAGAGAGCUUGCUCUCGGGUGACGAGUGGCGGACGGGUGAGUAAUGUCUGGGAAACUGCCUGAUGGAGGGGGAUAACUACUGGAAACGGUGGCUAAUACCGCAUAACGUCGCAAGACCAAAGAGGGGGACCUUCGGGCCUCUUGCCAUCAGA